UCGACUCUUUCUGGAAAACACUUUAUCAUGUAUUUGCAAAGUAGCAGGAACAUUAGGAGCACCCUAUUGCUGUAAAACAGCUAUUUUGAAGGCAAGAGCUUUUUUAGGUGCACAAAUUACUUCAAAACUGAACCAGUCUCCAAACAUCUUGAUUCACAUUGUAGGAGUAUUCUUGGCCACAUAGCUUACUUGUCUUUCCAUUAUGUAGUGUUUAAUUUGUUGUUAAUUCAUAUAAUUUGCAGGAGUCAUGGGUCUUGAGCCUAAGAAAUAAAUUCAAAAAUAUGAGAAAGAUGGUCGAAAACUGCCCUCCAGAAAUGGCCGAAAAGCGGGCCCAGAGCCUACACAAAAGGCCGCGGCAGCCUCAAGAAGCCGUUGCCAACAAGAAGUUGUACCGCCUCUUCGUGAGUCUUACAUCUUUGACACUUUAUACCCAAGGACAACUUGUAGUUUUCACAUAUCGUAUUUACUCGCGUAAUAGACGCACUCACAUAAUAAACGCACCCCUAACUUCAGUCGUCAAAAUCUGGAUUUUUUUUCCUCUCGUGUAACUGACACCUGGCGCCCCCUUGCCCAUUGGAUAUCUUUAGUUUUUUAUUAUUAUGCAGACUCCUUUCGGCCACCGCGGCUCGCUCCCCCCGCCCCCUUUUGCCUGCUGCUGCGCGCCGUGUUGUUCUUUCUAUUUGCGCGCGGCACGUCCUGUCUUUUUUUUAUUAUCCGUGCGCCACAGCGGGGUUCACGAACGGUGCGAGUGUAGAGGCAUCGCAGCUGAUAAGCACACAGCGAGCGAAGGUCACAAAACUGCCUGCGCCAACCGACGGUUGCUUCCUGCAAAUACGAAACUUUAAGGCCCACCCACAUACCCGUGAUUUUCGAGCGACGAUGACAGGGUUUGCUGUUGCCAUGGCUGUGGUGAAGGGCCAUUCGUCGCCAUCGCGUCGCAGGUUUCUGGAAAACGAGAAAAAAUCGCUUGGUCCCCCAGAAAAGAUUGCGAGGAUUUCCGCAACAUGGCAGCAGUCCGAUUCUCGCCUCGGUUGCAAUUUGCUCUUCAUGCUUAUUAUCCGCGCGUACUUCAAGGCUACCUUUUCUACAGUAACUUCUCAUGUGAACAGCGAGACGGCAGCCGUAUUUUGUCGUUAAUCUUGUUAUCGACGGUUUGUUUUGAAUGCGCGGUGGUAGCUUGGUGCAAUGUCAACGGCAUCGUCACGGUCGUCGUGCGAGGUUGCCACGACGUUGGCAAAGUGCAUCGUAGUGUCGUAGCGCACGCUUCUGGGCGCCCCUCGAAAUCACAGCAGAUACCACUGCUGCGGUUAAAACGAUUGCGAGAAAAGAAAGCCACAAAACGCUUUUAUGGAGUGUGCGGGCGGCGCAGGGACAGCUUGCAGAAAAUAGCGCCUUCAACCCACCGAAGAUGAGUGACGUGCAACAAAGAAGCUGUUUCCAAACAGCGUACGCGUACGUCAAUUGCGAAAGGCUAAGCGACCUAACUUUUUUUUUUACAUUACCGAUUUUUCUCAUCCCGAAAAAGUUUUCAUAUAAUUUGUCCCGCAUAAUAAACGCACCCCCAACUUUGCUCCGAAUUUUCGAGAAAAAAAGUGCGUUCAUUACGUGAGUAAACACGGUAAUUAUUAUAGGGAACUUGUGGCACUGAA
rnacentral:lncRNA from 1 species